AUUCACAUUCCAAUCCAAGGGGGAGCGUGGCUCCCACUCCUGAGGUUUUCAGGCCUGGCCAGUUCUCUGUCAGGGAGGUGGGAGGUGGUGAAAGGUCACCUCCCAAAGAGGGUGGUGAAUUUCAGCAAGGUUGGCCUUCGGGCCUGUCCAGAACCUCUGGGGUGAGACGGUGUGUGCAUGUGAGUGUUGAUGGCCCCCUCUGUGAGUGUACAGUUGGCUCCUCUUCCUUCAAGCUAAUGAGUAAGACAAAAGGGAAACAAGGAGAACGUCAAGCUUCUCCACUUCGUCGGUGAUCUGAGCCACUUUGUUGAAUCAGAUGAUGGUUUUCGGAAACUAGAAGAGCGUUUCCUCAACUUGUGCUAUUCACAAUGUAAUGAGCAUAGACACAGCACCCUGAA
rnacentral:lncRNA from 1 species